rnacentral:rRNA from 1 species
GAUGAACGCUGGCGGCGUGCCUAAUACAUGCAAGUCGAGCGAACAGACGAGGAGCUUGCUCCUCUGACGUUAGCGGCGGACGGGUGAGUAACACGUGGAUAACCUACCUAUAAGACUGGGAUAACUUCGGGAAACCGGAGCUAAUACCGGAUAAUAUAUUGAACCGCAUGGUUCAAUAGUGAAAGACGGUUUUGCUGUCACUUAUAGAUGGAUCCGCGCCGCAUUAGCUAGUUGGUAAGGUAACGGCUUACCAAGGCAACGAUGCGUAGCCGACCUGAGAGGGUGAUCGGCCACGCUGGAGCUGAGACACGGUCCAGACUCCUACGGGAGGCAGCAGUAGGGAAUCUUCCGCAAUGGGCGAAAGCCUGACGGAGCAACGCCGCGUGAGUGAUGAAGGUCUUCGGAUCGUAAAACUCUGCUAUUAGGGAAGAACAAAUGUGUAAGUAACUAUGCACGUCUUGACGGUACCUAAUCAGAAAGCCACGGCUAACUACGU